rnacentral:rRNA from 1 species
GUCGAGAAUUUUUCUCAAUGGGGGAAACCCUGAAGGAGCGACGCCGCGUGGAGGAUGAAGGUCUUCGGAUUGUAAACUCCUGUCAUUGGUGAACAAGGCCCACGCAGUAACUGGUGUUGGGUUUGAUAGUAGCCGAAGAGGAAGAGACGGCUAACUCUGUGCCAGCAGCCGCGGUAAUACAGAGGUCUCAAGCGUUGUUCGGAUUCAUUGGGCGUAAAGGGUGCGUAGGCUGUGGGGUAAGUCUGGUGUGAAAUCCCGGGGCUCAACCCCGGAACUGCACUGGAUACUGCUUUACUAGAGCACUGGAGAGGGAACUGGAAUUUACGGUGUAGCAGUGAAAUGCGUAGAUAUCGUAAGGAAGACCAGUGGCGAAGGCGAGUUCCUGGACAGUUGCUGACGCUGAGGCACGAAGGCCAGGGGAGCAAACGGGAUUAGAAACCCUGGUAGUCC